rnacentral:lncRNA from 1 species
CCAACUGUUCAAAGUGACUUCGAUGGCCCUAGAGUAAAACGCAGGGCACAAGACCAAAAGGAAGACCACGGAAAAGGUGAGAGGAUGAAGUGGCAGCAGACGCACAAAAUUUGCUAGACCUGAGAACCUAAAGAAUACACGAAGAUAUUAACAUGUUCAAAACCAGAGGGCACAAGAAGUAGAGGACGACCACUAAGAAGAUGGAUUGAUGAUGUGGAAGAAGACCUAAAGAUUCUAGGUGUCAGAAGAUGGAGGGAAGUUGCCUGGAAUCGACAGGAGUGGCGACUUCUUUGCGAGCAGGCCAGUAUCCACAACGAAUUGUCGAGCCACUUAUGAUGAUGAUGAGAACCUGGACAAGAUUAGCGCGGACAGGAAAGGCUGGAGGCACAAUUUGGAGGCUUGGGCUGUAGCGCCAUUGAGGAAAGAGAGAGGUUAACCCUCUUCUUGGCAAUGUAACAAAUUUGUAACAUUUUCAUUUUAGGUCCUAGGUGAGUUCUAGGUGACUUGAGAUGCAUUUUGUUACUUACAUUUUAUACUAACAUUAAACUGUCCGUAGAUGGCAACAGUUAACUUAUAUUUUUAUUAUUACCGAUUUCUGACAACUUCUAAUUGAUGCCAUCUAUCAUCUGUUGCAUUUUCGAGAAAGUUCUCCACUCUUUUUACAAACUUUUAAUUUUUUAUAAAAAAUAGGGUUUUUCUUAUUAUUUUGGUGAUUGUUUUAUAUUGUUUAAUUAACCGAUAAAUAGAGCGUCUACGGUUUAGUUGUUUUUUUGUAUAAUGAACUAUCAAAAAACGUCGUCAAACAUUUGUAACAAAUGUGUUACAUUGUUAAGUUACGGUUAUAUUUUUUUCUCAAUGUAGAUUUUUGAUUUUUUUAUAUCUGCAAUAUUUUUAUGCAAUUUUAUUUGUUUUGCAGAUAGAUAUAUUUAAAAAAGGGUGGACAAUAUUAUUUCUAUGUUUUGUAAGUCAGGCACUACUUCCUUUCAGUGCACAAAAUGUGAAGGGGUAGGCGACUUUGUCUGAAUGGCAAAGGAAACUGUUUUAACUGAGUUACCUAAAUUAAAAGGAUUUGAUUUAGAAUAUAAUAAUUAUAUUGUAUAAAUAAAUAAUUUUAUUUUAAUAUUA